GUGGACGGAAGUUCUCCAAGCGUCUGGUGGACAUUAGAGAACUCAAUGAGCAGGCCAAAGUCAUUGACGAUCUCAAGAAACUGGGUGCAAGUGAAAGCACCAUUAACCAGGAAAUCCAGCGCUACCAGCAGUUGGAAUCUGUCGCUGUCAAUGAUAUCCGCCGAGAUGUGCGCAAGAAGCUGCGGCGCUCCAGCAUGCGGGCUGCAUCUUUGAAAGAUAAAUGGGGUUUAGG